rnacentral:tRNA from 1 species
GCGCCCGUAGCUCAAUUGGAUAGAGCAUCUGACUUCGGAUCAGAGGGUUUGGGGUUCGAGUCCUCUCGGGCGUGCCA